rnacentral:rRNA from 1 species
UACGUAGGGUGCGAGCGUUGUCCGGAAUUACUGGGCGUAAAGAGCUCGUAGGUGGUUUGUCGCGUUGUUCGUGAAAACUCACAGCUCAACUGUGGGCGUGCGGGCGAUACGGGCAGACUAGAGUGUGGUAGGGGGAGACUGGAAUUCCUGGUGUAGCGGUGAAAUGCGCAGAUAUCAGGAGGAACACCGAUGGCGAAGGCAGGUCUCUGGGCCGAAACUGACGCUGAGGAGCGAAAGCGUGGGGAGCAAACAGG